rnacentral:lncRNA from 1 species
GAAAUGUAUGACCGAAACUAACACAUACAAAAUGAUUUUACUAACACACUUGCAACAUUUUUCUUUAAAAAUUGCAAAAAAAAAUAGUUAAUGGAUAAUUCCAUCAAUAAUGACGGUCAAAUGACCGGUAAAAUGACUGUUGAUGUACUCAAUGUGUGAUAAAGGGUUUCAUUUGCAUAUGAAAGAGUGAAACAACUACAUUUGACUGUUACUGUGUUUUCCGUCGCAUAAAUUAAUUAUUUCAGUGAAAGCCAAAGAUCAAGGAGCAAAAAAUUAAAAAAAUUGAGACUAACAUUAUUAAAAAUAAAGAGAUUUAUUAUAAUUUAAAAACGGUGCAGGAAGUGGAGCUGAGAAUAUACACUUCGGAGUUUAAUCUAUUUGUGACAAUUUAUUUCCACAAAUUAAAAGGAGCAUAGGAGGAUUUUACAUUCUGUGAGGUAUGUAAAAUGGUGAAAUGAUAGUUAAUUUAUGUAUAUUAAUAAAAUUAAAAAUAUAUGUCUUAAAAUGUUAA